rnacentral:rRNA from 1 species
UAGCCACGGGAAUACAGAGGGUGCGAGCGUUAAUCGGAUUUACUGGGCGUAAAGCGUGCGUAGGCGGCUUUUUAAGUCGGAUGUGAAAUCCCUGAGCUUAACUUAGGAAUUGCAUUCGAUACUGGGAAGCUAGAGUAUGGGAGAGGAUGGUAGAAUUCCAGGUGUAGCGGUGAAAUGCGUAGAGAUCUGGAGGAAUACCGAUGGCGAAGGCAGCCAUCUGGCCUAAUACUGACGCUGAGGUACGAAAGCAUGGGGAGCAAACAGGAUUAGAUACCCCUGUAGUCCCUGUCUCUUAUACACA